GAUGAAGAACGUAGCGAAAUGCGAUAAGUAAUGUGAAUUGCAGAAUUCAGUGAAUCAUCGAAUCUUUGAACGCACAUUGCGCCCGCCAGUAUUCUGGCGGGCAUGCCUGUUCGAGCGUCAUUUCAACCAUCAGGCCCCCGGCUUGUGUUGGGGACCUGCGGCUGCCGCAGGCCCUGAAAACCAGUGGCGGGCUCGCUAGUCACUCCGAGCGUAGUAAUACAUCUCGCUCAGGGCGUGCUGCGGGUUCCGGCCGUUAAAAAGCCUUAUUUACCCAAGGUUGACCUCGGAUCAGGUAGGAAGACCCGCUGAACUUAAGCAUAUCAAUAAGCGGAGGA
rnacentral:misc_RNA from 1 species